rnacentral:lncRNA from 1 species
ACAGCGGCCUUCAGGGCCCGGCAUUUGCUGUUGCAGGCAGUAUCUGAACCUCAGUUACAAGGUGGAGCUGGCUCUGACUGGGAAGAGAGGCAAUUUUUGGUGGUUCCUGGGGGCAGGUGUGGACGAGGUGGUAGUGGGCCCACAGGGCAAGUACCCACACAGGGCAUCACACGAGUGCUGGAUUUGUUCCUCCCUCAGAUCCUUACCUCCUGCCUCCAGCAGCCUUGUCCUCCUUCUCUUUUAUUCCCCUUCACUUUUCUUCCUCCCUCUGGAGGACAAGAGCAACUCGCAGAUCAAGACGAAUGACAAACUAGGGAAAGCAGGUGCAAAAACCUCCAUGAAAAGAUCAAUCACACUUGUCAGAGCCAGGCGAGCAGCAACAUUUUCAAGCUGGCUCUUUCCCUAGUGAGCAGAAAAGCCACCUCACCCUUGACAAUGAUAUAACCCAAACAGUUACAGCUGCACAUAGAAAUUAAUUCUAUCUAAUUCUAUCUAAUACUAAUUCUGGACUGAACACGACCAAUAGCACCAUGGCACCAAUCUCGACAUCAUCUUGAAUUCUGAUUAAUCUAAGUUAUCCGCAACCGGUUGCAAUUACUUUUCAAGGGAGAAAGAAACUAAAGUAAAAUAGUGCUAACAUUUCCUGAUUUUCAGUUUUUCUGACUUGUCUACCUAAACCACAAGCGUUUCAGUGCACACCAUGCCCCUCAGGUUAGGUGUGUGCAACACCUGUGUAGAUGCCACAGUAAUACAAGUAAUACCUGACAGUGUUUAAAUGCUGACAUCUGGAGUUCACUUGGUGAGAAUUUUAUGAAGAAAAAAAAAGAAUCAAACACUUCAUAUGUAAUUUUACAUGUCACAGCUUUGUUUUUCACUCCCAAAUAUCAUCCCUUUCCCUCAAUUAGCCAGCCUUCUGUUGCAUAAAAUGACUGUCAUCUCAUGAAGGCUGUAAUUGCCUUUUGCGAGUAGAAAACCAGGUACAGUAGUAAAAAACCAAAAACUGAAAAACAAAAGCAAAAACCCCCGCCACCUAAUGGGGCAAGUGCUGCUUACAUACACAUAGCUUUGUUUAACUUCAGAAGUGAGAGGGGAUAGGCUUGAAACAAACAGUCUGCUCCGGAGCAAAAUACUACUGUAGAAAAAUAUUAGACCUUGCUUUUUGAUUGAAAUAGUAAAAAUCUUACAUCUACACACGUUUAUCACUAGUGAUUUCAAAGGCCUGCAUGGCAUAAGCAGAAAUGAUUCUUCUCAGUCCUGAAUGGCAGCCAGCCCAGGGUGCACGGCACGGCUAUUUACCAGUGAUUUAUAGCGCAAGGUUAAGAGGAGCAGUCGAUGCAAAUGAACUUGCUGGAUGAUUUUGGAUGGCCAGCAUGCCAUUAGCUUCCCUUGGACCACGCCAACAUUUCAGGCUUUCACGAAAGCAGCUGUGACUUUUUAAAUAAAAGCAAAUUUUGAAAGCUCA